GGAGUUGUGCCUGAAAUAAAGGGCCACUUUGAUAGAGUGACUCAUAAGGGUUAAAUUCCCUUCAACUCCU
rnacentral:tRNA from 1 species